rnacentral:rRNA from 1 species
CCUACGGGAGGCUGCAGUGAGGAAUAUUGGUCAAUGGACGAGAGUCUGAACCAGCCAAGUAGCGUGAAGGAUGACUGCCCUAUGGGUUGUAAACUUCUUUUAUAUGGGAAUAAAAUGUUCCACGUGUGGGAUUUUGUAUGUACCAUAUGAAUAAGGAUCGGCUAAAUCCGUGCCAGCAGCCGCGGUAAUACGGAGGAUCCGAGCGUUAUCCGGAUUUAUUGGGUUUAAAGGGAGCGUAGGUGGAUUGUUAAGUCAGUUGUGAAAGUUUGCGGCUCAACCGUAAAAUUGCAGUUGAAACUGGCAGUCGUGAGUACAGUAGAGGUGGGCGGAAUUCGUGGUGUAGCGGUGAAAUGCUUAGAUAUCACGAAGAACUCCGAUUGCGAAGGCAGCUCACUGGACUGCAACUGACACUGAGGCUCGAAAGUGUGGGUAUCAAACAGGAUUAGAUACCCCUGUAGUC